rnacentral:rRNA from 1 species
CGUGGAGGAUGACACUUUUCGGAGCGUAAACUCCUUUUCUUAGGGAAGAAUUCUGACGGUACCUAAGGAAUAAGCACCGGCUAACUCCGUGCCAGCAGCCGCGGUAAUACGGAGGGUGCAAGCGUUACUCGGAAUCACUGGGCGUAAAGGGCGCGUAGGCGGAUUAUCAAGUCUCUUGUGAAAUCUAAUGGCUUAACCAUUAAACUGCUUGGGAAACUGAUAGUCUAGAGUGAGGGAGAGGCAGAUGGAAUUGGUGGUGUAGGGGUAAAAUCCGUAGAUAUCACCAAGAAUACCCAUUGCGAAGGCGAUCUGCUGGAACUCAACUGACGCUAAGGCGCGAAAGCGUGGGGAGCAAACAGGAUUAGAUACCCUGGUAGUCCACGCCCUAAACGAUGUACACUAGUUGUUGGGAUGCUAGUCAUCUCAGUAAUGCAGCUAACGCAUUAAGUGUACCGCCUGGGGAGUACGGUCGCAAGAUUAAAACUCAAAGGAAUAGACGGGGACCCGCACAAGCGGUGGAGCAUGUGGUUUAAUUCGAAGAUACGCGAAGAACCUUACCUGGGCUUGAUAUCCUAAGAACCUUAUAGAGAUAUGAGGGUGCUAGCUUGCUAGAACUUAGAGACAGGUGCUGCACGGCUGUCGUCAGCUCGUGUCGUGAGAUGUUGGGUUAAGUCCCGCAACGAGCGCAACCCACGUAUUUAGUUGCUAACGGUUCGGCCGAGCACUCUAAAUAGACUGCCUUCGUAAGGAGGAGGAAGGUGUGGACGACGUCAAGUCAUCAUGGCCCUUAUGCCCAGGGCGACACACGUGCUACAAUGGCAUAUACAAUGAGACGCAAUACCGCGAGGUGGAGCAAAUCUAUAAAAUAUGUCCCAGUUCGGAUUGUUCUCUGCAACUCGAGAGCAUGAAGCCGGAAUCGCUAGUAAUCGUAGAUCAGCCAUGCUACGGUGAAUACGUUCCCGGGUCUUGUACUCACCGCCCGUCACACCAUGGGAGUUGAUUUCACUCGAAGCCGGAAUACUAAACUAGUUACCGUCCACAGUGGAAUCAGCGACUGGGGUGAAGUCGUAACAAGGUAACCGUAGGAGAACCUGCGGUUGGAUCACCUCCUUUCUA